AUAACGUUCGGACCGUCAGUCUACCAAACAAUUUCACCCGCUCGGUAAAGAUCUUUUCUUUGUCGU
rnacentral:pre_miRNA from 1 species